GACCAUUCUUGUCGGGUACUGAGUGUGGAGAGAUAGUCCAGCAGAGGAGAUGCCCAUUCCACCGCUAGCUCCUCCUAUAGCCAGCAGGUGGAAGAUAAUCUGCAACAGAA
rnacentral:snoRNA from 1 species